rnacentral:rRNA from 1 species
UACGGGGGGUGCGAGCGUUGUCCGGAAUCACUGGGCGUAAAGGGCGCGUAGGUGGCGUGAUAAGGGUGUGGUGAAAGCCCGGGGCUCAACCCCGGGUCUGCCACGCCGACUGUCAGGCUCGAGUGCUGUAGGGGCAGGCGGAAUUCCGGGUGUAGCGGUGGAAUGCGUAGAGAUCCGGAGGAAGACCGGUGGCGAAGGCGGCCUGCUGGGCAGUUACUGACACUGAGGCGCGACAGCGUGGGGAGCAAACAGG